AGAGUUUGAUCCUGGCUCAGGAUGAACGCUAGCUACAGGCUUAACACAUGCAAGUCGAGGGGAAACGGCAUUGAGUGCUUGCACUCUUUGGACGUCGACCGGCGCACGGGUGAGUAACGCGUAUCCAACCUUCCCAUUACUGUGGGAUAACCUGCCGAAAGGCAGACUAAUACCGCAUAGUCUUCGAUGACGGCAUCAGAUUUGAAGUAAAGAUUUAUCGGUAAUGGAUGGGGAUGCGUCUGAUUAGCUUGUUGGCGGGGUAACGGCCCACCAAGGCAACGAUCAGUAGGGGUUCUGAGAGGAAGGUCCCCCACAUUGGAACUGAGACACGGUCCAAACUCCUACGGGAGGCAGCAGUGAGGAAUAUUGGUCAAUGGACGGAAGUCUGAACCAGCCAAGUAGCGUGCAGGAUGACGGCCCUAUGGGUUGUAAACUGCUUUUGUAUGGGGAUAAAGUUAGGGACGUGUCCCUAUUUGCAGGUACCAUACGAAUAAGGACCGGCUAAUUCCGUGCCAGCAGCCGCGGUAAUACGGAAGGUCCAGGCGUUAUCCGGAUUUAUUGGGUUUAAAGGGAGCGUAGGCGGAUUGUUAAGUCAGCGGUUAAAGGGUGUGGCUCAACCAUGCAUUGCCGUUGAAACUGGCGAUCUUGAGUGCAGACAGGGAUGCCGGAAUUCGUGGUGUAGCGGUGAAAUGCUUAGAUAUCACGAAGAACUCCGAUCGCGAAGGCAGGUGUCCGGGCUGCAACUGACGCUGAGGCUCGAAAGUGUGGGUAUCAAACAGGAUUAGAUACCCUGGUAGUCCACACAGUAAACGAUGUAUACUCGCGGUUUGCGAUAGACAGUAAGCCGCCAAGCGAAAGCAUUAAGUAUACCACCUGGGGAGUACGCCGGCAACGGUGCAACU
rnacentral:rRNA from 1 species